rnacentral:rRNA from 1 species
AUGGCCCCCUCCCAAGAAGUCGCCGCCGCCACCAAGGAGCCGUCCACCAACGGCAACGGGACACAGGCCGCCGCCGCCCCGAAGACCAAGACGCCGGCGCUGAACGAGCGGAUCCUCUCCUCCAUCACCCGCCGGUCGGUGGCGGCGCACCCGUGGCACGACCUGGAGAUCGGCCCGGACGCGCCCACAAUCUUCAACUGCGUGAUCGAGAUCCCCAAGGGGAGCAAGGUCAAGUACGAGCUGGACAAGAAGACGGGGCUCAUCAAGGUGGACCGCGUGCUCUACUCCUCCGUCGUCUACCCGCACAACUACGGCUUCAUCCCGCGCACCCUCUGCGACGACUCCGACCCCAUCGACGUCCUCGUCAUCAUGCAGGAGCCCGUCGUCCCCGGGUGCUUCCUCCGGGCCAAGGCCAUCGGCCUCAUGCCCAUGAUCGACCAGGGCGAGGCCGACGACAAGAUCAUCGCCGUCUGCGCCGACGACCCCGAGUACCGCCACUUCAACGACAUCAAGGAGCUGCCCCCGCACCGCCUCGCCGAGAUCAGAAGAUUCUUCGAGGACUACAAGAAGAACGAGAACAAGGAGGUGGCCGUCAACGACUUCCUGCCGUCAGAGGACGCCUACGAGGCCAUCCAGCACUCCAUGGAUCUCUAUGCCACCUACAUCUGCGAGGGCCUGAGAAGGUAG